GAUGAACGCUGGCGGCGUGCCUAAUACAUGCAAGUCGAGCGAACGGACGAGAAGCUUGCUUCUCUGAUGUUAGCGGCGGACGGGUGAGUAACACGUGGAUAACCUACCUAUAAGACUGGGAUAACUUCGGGAAACCGGAGCUAAUACCGGAUAAUAUUUUGAACCGCAUGGUUCAAAAGUGAAAGACGGUCUUGCUGUCACUAAUAGAUGGAUCCGCGCUGCAUUAGCUAGUUGGUAAGGUAACGGCUUACCAAGGCAACGAUGCAUAGCCGACCUGAGAGGGUGAUCGGCCACACUGGAACUGAGACACGGUCCAGACUCCUACGGGAGGCAGCAGUAGGGAAUCUUCCGCAAUGGGCGAAAGCCUGACGGAGCAACACCGCGUGAGUGAUGAAGGUCUUCGGAUCGUAAAACUCUGUUAUUAGGAAAGAACAUAUGUGUAAGUAACUGUGCACAUCUUGACGGUACCUAAUCAGAAAGCCACGGCUAACUACGUG
rnacentral:rRNA from 1 species